rnacentral:rRNA from 1 species
UUGACCUCGAAUCAGGUAGGAAUACCCGCUGAACUUAAGCAUAUCAAUAAGCGGAGGAAAAGAAACCAACCGGGAUUACCUCAGUAACGGCGAGUGAAGCGGUAACAGCUCAAAUUUGAAAUCUGGCUCCUUCGGAGUCCGAGUUGUAAUUUGUAGAAGAUGCUUUGGGUUGUGGGCUCGGCCUAAGUUCCUUGGAACAGGACGUCAUAGAGGGUGAGAAUCCCGUAUGUGGCUGCGGCCCGCGCCUAUGUAAAGCUCUUUCGACGAGUCGAGUUGUUUGGGAAUGCAGCUCAAAAUGGGUGGUAAAUUUCAUCUAAAGCUAAAUAUGGGCCAGAGACCGAUAGCGCACAAGUAGAGUGAUCGAAAGAUGAAAAGCACUUUGGAAAGAGAGUUAAACAGUACGUGAAAUUGUUGAAAGGGAAGCGCUUGCAACCAGACUUGGGCGCUGCUGAUCACCCCGAGUUCUCUCGGGUGCACUCGACAGCGCACAGGCCAGCAUCGGUUCGGGUGGUUGGAUAAAGGUCGUGGAAAUGUAGCUCCUUUCGGGGAGUGUUAUAGUCCACGGUGCCAUGCAGCCCAGCCGGACCGAGGACCGCGCCUUCGGGCUAGGAUGCUGGCGUAAUGGUUGUAAGCGACCCGUCUUGAAACACGGACCAAGGAGUCUAACAUCUAUGCGAGUGUUUGGGCGUUAAACCCAUACGCGGAAUGAAAGUGAACGUAGGUGAGAACCCCUUUUGGGGCGCAUCAUCGACCGAUCCUGAUGUCUUCGGAUGGAUUUGAGUAAGAGCAUAGCUGUUGGGACCCGAAAGAUGGUGAACUAUGCCUGAAUAGGGUGAAGCCAGAGGAAACUCUGGUGGAGGCUCGCAGCGGUUCUGACGUGCAAAUCGAUCGUCAAAUUUGGGCAUAGGGGCGAAAGACUAAUCGAACAUCUAAUACUGGUCCUCAGU